UGACUCUUUAAGCCAAGAGUCACCUAGCCAACUGACGUUGUUAGUGAAUAUUUUUGUUCACAUUAUAUUUAAGCCAAUCGUGUCUUACGAUUGGCUAUUUUUUU
rnacentral:sRNA from 1 species